AAUUAUAUAUUCUAUUCGGGUGUCCCCUGUGGAUGAAAAGGGAAACCGGUGCAAGUCCGGUGCGAUCCCGUCACUGUAAGCACGAGCCAAAUCCAGCAAGGCCACUGGCGAAAGCCGGGAAGGCGGAAGAGGCAAUGACUGCAAGCCAGGAAACCUGCCUGAAUAGUGCGUAACAU
rnacentral:ncRNA from 2 species